UGAAACCGUGUGCUUACAAGUAGUCAGAGCCCGUUAAUGGGUGAUGGCGUGCCUUUUGUAGAAUGAACCGGCGAGUUACGAUUUGAUGCAAGGUUAAGCAGUAAAUGUGGAGCCGUAGCGAAAGCGAGUCUGAAUAGGGCGUUUAGUAUUUGGUCGUAGACCCGAAACCAGGUGAUCUACCCUUGGUCAGGUUGAAGUUCAGGUAACACUGAAUGGAGGACCGAACCGACUUACGUUGAAAAGUGAGCGGAUGAACUGAGGGUAGCGGAGAAAUUCCAAUCGAACCUGGAGAUAGCUGGUUCUCUCCGAAAUAGCUUUAGGGCUAGCCUCAAGUGAUGAUUAUUGGAGGUAGAGCACUGUUUGGACGAGGGGCCCCUCUCGGGUUACCGAAUUCAGACAAACUCCGAAUGCCAAUUAAUUUAACUUGGGAGUCAGAACAUGGGUGAUAAGGUCCGUGUUCGAAAGGGAAACAGCCCAGACCACCAGCUAAGGUCCCAAAAUAUAUGUUAAGUGGAAAAGGAUGUGGCGUUGCCCAGACAACUAGGAUGUUGGCUUAGAAGCAGCCAUCAUUUAAAGAGUGCGUAAUAGCUCACUAGUCGAGUGACACUGCGCCGAAAAUGUACCGGGGCUAAACAUAUUACCGAAGCUGUGGAUUGUCCUUUGGACAAUGGUAGGAGAGCGUUCUAAGGGCGUUGAAGCAUGAUCGUAAGGACAUGUGGAGCGCUUAGAAGUGAGAAUGCCGGUGUGAGUAGCGAAAGACGGGUGAGAAUCCCGUCCACCGAUUGACUAAGGUUUCCAGAGGAAGGCUCGUCCGCUCUGGGUUAGUCGGGUCCUAAGCUGAGGCCGACAGGCGUAGGCGAUGGAUAACAGGUUGAUAUUCCUGUACCACCUAUAAUCGUUUUAAUCGAUGGGGGGACGCAGUAGGAUAGGCGAAGCGUGCGAUUGGAUUGCACGUCUAAGCAGUAAGGCUGAGUAUUAGGCAAAUCCGGUACUCGUUAAGGCUGAGCUGUGAUGGGGAGAAGACAUUGUGUCUUCGAGUCGUUGAUUUCACACUGCCGAGAAAAGCCUCUAGAUAGAAAAUAGGUGCCCGUACCGCAAACCGACACAGGUAGUCAAGAUGAGAAUUCUAAGGUGAGCGAGCGAACUCUCGUUAAGGAACUCGGCAAAAUGACCCCGUAACUUCGGGAGAAGGGGUGCUCUUUAGGGUUAACGCCCAGAAGAGCCGCAGUGAAUAGGCCCAAGCGACUGUUUAUCAAAAACACAGGUCUCUGCUAAACCGUAAGGUGAUGUAUAGGGGCUGACGCCUGCCCGGUGCUGGAAGGUUAAGAGGAGUGGUUAGCUUCUGCGAAGCUACGAAUCGAAGCCCCAGUAAACGGCGGCCGUAACUAUAACGGUCCUAAGGUAGCGAAAUUCCUUGUCGGGUAAGUUCCGACCCGCACGAAAGGCGUAACGAUUUGGGCACUGUCUCAACGAGAGACUCGGUGAAAUCAUAGUACCUGUGAAGAUGCAGGUUACCCGCGACAGGACGGAAAGACCCCGUGGAGCUUUACUGUAGCCUGAUAUUGAAAUUCGGCACAGCUUGUACAGGAUAGGUAGGAGCCUUUGAAACGUGAGCGCUAGCUUACGUGGAGGCGCUGGUGGGAUACUACCCUAGCUGUGUUGGCUUUCUAACCCGCACCACUUAUCGUGGUGGGAGACAGUGUCAGGCGGGCAGUUUGACUGGGGCGGUCGCCUCCUAAAAGGUAACGGAGGCGCUCAAAGGUUCCCUCAGAAUGGUUGGAAAUCAUUCAUAGAGUGUAAAGGCAUAAGGGAGCUUGACUGCGAGACCUACAAGUCGAGCAGGGUCGAAAGACGGACUUAGUGAUCCGGUGGUUCCGCAUGGAAGGGCCAUCGCUCAACGGAUAAAAGCUACCCCGGGGAUAACAGGCUUAUCUCCCCCAAGAGUUCACAUCGACGGGGAGGUUUGGCACCUCGAUGUCGGCUCAUCGCAUCCUGGGGCUGUAGUCGGUCCCAAGGGUUGGGCUGUUCGCCCAUUAAAGCGGUACGCGAGCUGGGUUCAGAACGUCGUGAGACAGUUCGGUCCCUAUCCGUCGUGGGCGUAGGAAAUUUGAGAGGAGCUGUCCUUAGUACGAGAGGACCGGGAUGGACAUACCUCUGGUGUACCAGUUGUCGUGCCAACGGCAUAGCUGGGUAGCUAUGUGUGGACGGGAUAAGUGCUGAAAGCAUCUAAGCAUGAAGCCCCCCUCAAGAUGAGAUUUCCCAACUUCGGUUAUAAGAUCCCUCAAAGA
rnacentral:rRNA from 1 species